rnacentral:rRNA from 1 species
AUUGAACGCUGGCGGCAGGCCUAACACAUGCAAGUCGAGCGAGCGGCGGACGGGUGAGUAAUGUAUGGGGACUGCCCGAUAGAGGGGGAGAACUACUGGAAACGGUAGCUCAUCCCGCAUACUAUCGGAUAACCCCUGUGGGGGUAGCUAGUGGGUGAGGUAAUGGCUCACCUAGGCGACGAUCCCUAGCUUGUCUGAGAGGAUGAUCAGCCACACUGGGACUGAGACACGGCCCAGACUCCUACGGAGGCAGCAGUGGGGAAUAUUGCACAAUGGGCGCAAGCCUGAUGCAGCCAUCCCGCGUGUAUGAUGAAGGCCUUCGGGUUGUAAAGUACUUUAAGCAGAGAAGCGUUAUCUGCAGAAUAAGCACCGGCUAACUACGUGCCAGCAGCCGCGGUAAUUC